GUCCACACAGUAAACGAUGAAUACUCGCUGUUUGCGAUAUACAGUAAGCGGCCAAGCGAAAGCAUUAAGUAUUCCACCUGGGGAGUACGCCGGCAACGGUGAAACUCAAAGGAAUUGACGGGGGCCCCGCACAAGCGGAGGAACAUGUGGUUUAAUUCGAUGAUACGCGAGGAACCUUACCCGGGCUUAAAUUGCAAAUGAAUUAUGGGGAAACCCAUACGCCGCAAGGCAUUUGUGAAGGUGCUGCAUGGUUGUCGU
rnacentral:rRNA from 1 species